CCGACCUUAGCUCAGUUGGUAGAGCGGAGGACUGUAGUGGGCAAAAAUCCAACAGGUAAAUCCUUAGGUCGCUGGUUCGAAUCCGGCAGGUCGGA
rnacentral:tRNA from 1 species